AUCCCAUGGUGUGGAUAUUGCCUAAACAACUUCUUGAAUCUUUCCAAAGCAGCACACAAAGACUCAUCAUCUCCUUGCCUAAAUGAAGUGAUUUCAUUUCUCAUUUU